AUGCCCGCCUCCCUCCUCCCCCCGACCUUCCUCCCCCACCACCGCCAGCGCCAGCGACUCCGCCUCCCCGUACCCAGCUGCACCACCUCCUCGGUCUCCGUCUCCGUCUCCGCCAGCCGCUACGACUUCGAGCCGCUGCUCGCCUACCUCUCCGACCCCUCCACCGUCGCCUCGCUCACCUCGCCGUCCCCUCCGCCCAUCGUGCCAGCCCCCGAGCGCCGCCUCGCCGCGUCCUACUCCGCCGUGCCGUCGCACGAGUGGCACGCUCUGCUCCGGGGCCUCGCCGCCAGCGACGCGUCCCUGCCGCUCGCCUUCGCGCUGCUCCCCUUCCUCCAGCGCCACCGCCUCUGCUUCCCGCUCGACCUGCUCCUCUCCUCGUUCAUCCACUCGCUCUCCGUCUCCGGCCGCCUGCUCCCGCACUCGCUGCUGCUCUCCUUCCCGCCCUCCCUCUCCGACCCACCCUCCCCGCUGCUGCUCAACUCCCUCCUCGCCGCCUCCGCCGCGGCCUCCCGCCCCGCCAUCGCGCUGCGGCUCCUCGCACUCAUCCGCGAGCACAACUUCCUCCCGGACCUCGCCUCCUACUCGCAUCUCCUCGCCUCGCUGCUCAACACGCGGGACCCGCCCGACGCCGCCAUCCUCGAGCGCCUCCUCGGUGACCUCAGGGAGUCGCGCCUCGAGCCAGACGCGCCGCUCUUCUCCGACCUCAUCUCCGCCUUCGCGCGGGCCGCGCUCCCGGACGCAGCGCUCGAGCUCCUCGCCUCCGCGCAGGCCAUCGGGCUCACGCCACGCUCCAAUGCCGUCACCGCGCUCAUCUCCGCGCUCGGCAUCGCCGGUCGCGUGCCCGAGGCUGAAGCGCUGUUCUUGGAAUUCUUCCUUGCCGGAGAAAUCAAACCGAGGACACGCGCGUACAACGCGCUGCUCAAAGGGUAUGUCAAAAUUGGGUCGCUCAAGAACGCUGAGCACGUGCUCGAUGAAAUGUCAGAGUGCGGGGUUGCGCCCGAUGAGGCCACUUACAGCUUGCUCGUGGACGCGUACACGAGGGCUGGAAGAUGGGAGAGUGCAAGGAUACUGCUCAAGGAGAUGGAAGCCGAUGGAGUUAAACCGAGCUCGUAUGUGUUCAGCCGGAUCCUUGCGGGGUUCCGUGAUAGGGGGGAUUGGCAGAAGGCAUUUGCGGUGCUACGUGAGAUGCACGCAAGCGGUGUGCAGCCGGAUCGGCAUUUCUACAAUGUCAUGAUAGAUACAUUUGGGAAGUACAAUUGCCUUGGGCACGCCAUGGAUGUGUUUAACCGGAUGCGUGAAGAAGGGAUUGAACCGGAUGUUGUCACAUGGAACACACUUAUUGAUGCGCAUUGUAAGGGAGGGCGGCAUGAUCGCGCCAUGGAGCUGUUUAAGGAGAUGCGUGAAAGUAACUGCCCACCAGGAACGACCACAUAUAACAUCAUGAUCAAUUUGCUUGGUGAACAAGAGCGAUGGGUGGGGGUGGAAACAAUGAUGUCAGAGAUGAAGGAACAGGGCUUGGUUCCCAACAUUAUCACCUACACUACACUUGUGGAUGUGUAUGGGAGGUCUGGUAGGUACAAGGAGGCAAUUGAUUGCAUUGAGGCGAUGAAAGCUGACGGACUGAAGCCAUCGCCCACCAUGUACCAUGCCCUUGUCAAUGCAUAUGCCCAAAGGGGUUUGGCAGACCAUGCGUUAAAUGUAGUCAAGGCCAUGAGAGCGGAUGGACUUGAGGCUAGCACGGUAGUGCUCAACUCAUUGAUCAACGCCUUUGGUGAGGAUAGAAGGGUUGUUGAAGCAUUCUCUGUGCUUCAAUUCAUGAAGGAAAAUGAUUUUAAGCCUGACGUUAUUACAUACACGACACUAAUGAAAGCUCUAAUCCGUGUUGAGCAGUUCGACAAGGUUCCAGUCAUCUAUGAAGAAAUGAUUACAUCAGGAUGUGCCCCUGACCGCAAAGCUAGAGCAAUGCUGCGUUCAGCUUUAAGAUAUAUGAAACACACGAGGGUUGCGUAG
rnacentral:rRNA from 1 species